UCAUCUUUUAAACACAAAUGCAGACAACCAAACAGCCGGUCCUAAAGUAACCUCUGAUUCAAUGCAACCAAGCAAACUACAAGCAGAUAUUAGUUUAUUGUCUGUGUUUGCUUAACCCGUAUUUAACAAGAUGUGCCUGAACUUAUUUACUCAAGUCAACUAUACUCACCUAAGAUCUCUUUUCACCUCCUCCAUGCGUGCGUCGUCGUAUUCUGCCGCGUCCUUGUUCCAAAUACGGGC
rnacentral:lncRNA from 1 species